UACGUAGGGUGCGAGCGUUAAUCGGAAUUACUGGGCGUAAAGCGUGCGCAGGCGGUUUUGCAAGCCGGAUGUGAAAUCCCCGGGCUUAACCUGGGAAUGGCAUUUGGGACUGCAAGGCUGGAGUGCGGCAGAGGAGACUGGAAUUCCUGGUGUAGCAGUGAAAUGCGUAGAUAUCAGGAGGAACACCGGUGGCGAAGGCGGGUCUCUGGGAAGUAACUGACGCUGAGAAGCGAAAGCAUGGGUAGCAAACAGG
rnacentral:rRNA from 1 species